AAUAGGAGCAGAGGCAGACAGAUUAACAAAGUGCUGUUGUGCUCGUGUCAAGCGACAAGUGGGUUCGUGCGAAGAGUCCACCAGCGAAGAAUCCUGAUCCGCAUCGUCCUCUCCGCCUCCGGUGCCAGCACGCCUUGGCAUUCCAAUCUCUCCCGCACCUUGUCCCCUGCCGGCCGACGACGUUUACCAUCGGGAUUUGCUUCCCGGCCCCAUCGUUACCGCGUCCCCAGUCCCCUCCACCUGCCAGCCGCUAUCUCCUCUUGCGCGGGGCGGCCUCGGAGGAGGAUGAGCAAAUGGCUCACCAGAUGCUCCUCGGUACCCUGCGCACCAACGUGCUCAUCAAUCCCACCUGCGUCACCGGCGGCCGCGCAGCGUUACCAAGGUCGUCCGCAAGAAUAUGCAGACGGAAAUUUGCAGUCGCAGCCAUCUCAGGCGAUUAUCUCCCGAUGCGAAGUACUGAAGCGAAAAAUCGGACAUCAAAAAGUGACAUCAGAAGCCUCAGACUAAUGACAGCAGUCAAAACACCUUAUUUACCAGAUGGGAGAUUUGAUCUCGAAGCGUAUGAUUAUUUGAUCAAUAUGCAGAUAGAGGGUGGUGCUGAAGGUGUAAUAGUUGGAGGAACAACAGGAGAGGGUCACCUUAUGAGCUGGGAUGAGCACAUCAUGCUCAUUGGGCAUACUGUCAAUUGCUUCGGCACUAGAAUUAAAGUGAUAGGGAACACAGGAAGUAACUCAACUGGAGAGGCCGUUCAUGCGACCGAGCAGGGAUUUGCCGUCGGCAUGCAUGCAGCUCUUCACAUCAAUCCUUACUAUGGGAAGACUUCAACUGAAGGAAUGAUCGCUCAUUUCAAGGCUGUCCUCCCAAUGGGUCCAACCAUCAUUUACAAUGCUCCAUCAAGGACUGGACAGGAUAUCCCCCCUCCAGUCAUUGAGGCACUUUCAAGUCAUCCAAACAUUGCAGGUGUGAAAGAAUGUGUCGGACAUGAGAGGGUCAAGUGCUACACAGACAAAGGUAUUUCAGUAUGGAGUGGCAAUGAUGAUGAAUGCCAUGAUUCAAGGUGGAAAUAUGGUGCCAUUGGAGUUAUCUCUGUGACUAGCAACCUUGUUCCUGGUCUCAUGCACAGUCUCAUGCAUGAAGGGGAGAACGUGACCCUAAAUGAGAAACUGUUGCCUCUGAUAAAAUGGUUAUUUUGCGAACCAAAUCCAAUUCCUCUGGACACUGCUCUGGCUCAGCUCGGGGUUGCAAGGCCUGUUUUGAGAUUGCCAUACAAGGCUCUUCCUAUUGAGAAGAGGGUUGAGUUUGUCCGGAUUGUUGAUGCUAUUGGACGGGAACACUUUAUUGGAAAUAGAGAGGCAAGGGUUCUUGAUGACGAAGAUUUCAUCUCGAUCUGUCGGUAAACAUGGGCAUUAAGGUCUUUCACCUCUCAAGAUAGACCAUCGGUCUUAUGAAAACUUGAAAAGCAGGACUGAUAAACAGCUAUCCUUCAGUCAGUACUUAGUGUUGGGGAGCCACCUUCGGGCAGCGGUGCGAAGGCAAGAGGACCCGAAGACAGGACAAGAUGACCGAGCGCGCCCUGAUAAGCGAAGGCCUCGAAGCGAAGACCCUUUGACGAAGACCCAAGAGCGAGGGCUUCGGAUCUAGGGGCAACAGAUGGUUCCUGUCCAGCGCGGUGGCGAAGGGGAGACGGCGAAGGCUGAAGUGCGAAGGUUGACCAAGUGAGGAUGCAGUGAAGAAGUUGAGUGAUGAAGACCGAACUCGAAGCCCUGGUCGAAGAUACUCAUGGCGAAGUGUCCCGAAGAUGAGCUGAGGCCUACUUGUCAGUCUAGCUGUAAUUCCACUACAUUGUGUCGAUCGCUGUAACAUUACGAGAUUACCCUGGGAAUAUUCCCAGAUGCUGGCAGUUAGGGGUUAGUUAAGGGAUUUUGGCCAGGGAGUAGGUGAACCGUUGGGCUAUAAAUACCCCCCUGUAACUAUGCAAUGAUGAUUGAAUACAGAGCAAUUAUGCCUUUGCUUUGAUUUUCGUGCUGUCUCUCUGGUUGUGAUUGUUUUCUCGGGGCUUCGUCCCCGACGAACCGUGCUGUUGUGACACUCCUUUGCUCUGAAGGGUGUCAUACACCAACAGUUUUGGCGCCCACCCGCGGUUCGUCCUAACACGACCACAUGGCAGCGAAGAAGAAACCAAACCCUGGCGCUUCGGAGACCAACGCUUCGGCCGAAGCCCCACCUUCGAACGACAACACCCUCGCCCCAAACGACAACGAAGACCAUGGCGAAGACUUCGAAGUCAAAGACCUCGCCGACGGGGACUUCGAGGUCGAUCUCCACGACCUUGGCAUCUCCGCUGAAGACAUUCAAGUCAUGAAGAAGAUUUACGCACGCCUCUCCGAGCGUCUCCGUCAAGCGCAGCAAGCUCAGGCCGGCACGUCAAAUACGCCGGUGGCAACAAGAGCGAAGGGAAAAGGGCAUGAGCUCACCACUGAAGAGCUAGAGGAGCAACUCAACAAGUUAAAAGAAGAAGAGCUUCGCUGCAAGGCAAUGCGGCAGUCCAUUCGAGAUCGUCUGGUAAUGAUGAAACCCCUUCGCCAAGACCCUAAACCCGUGCAACAGGCGCCUCAGCCCCAAAGACUUCGCCAACAACCCAUUCUCAUUGAAGAACAGUACUCGGACGAAGAGGAAGGCGAGUACGUGAUGCCACAUCAGCUUCGACCGCAACAAGGCCUCGCCACGCCUCUCUCCGCAAAGUUCGAAGAGCUCCCGUGGCCUCCACGCUUCAACCCCACUAUUCUCCCGCAAUUCGACGGAGACUCCGACCCAAAAAGAUUUCCUCCUCAAGUACGAAGCGGCCAUCGAAGCAUCCGGAGGCGGCCCGGCAUGCAAAGUCAAAGCAUUCGUCCUCUCGCUCAAGGGCCUCGCUCAGCAUUGGUGCUCCAACCUCCCAGGCGGCCACAUCCACACAUGGGACCAGCUCCGAAGAGAGCUCACCGCCACUUUUAGAGCGCCGAAGCCUGAAGAAGUCAAUUCAUGUGACUUCCACAACCUAAAGCAAGAAGGAUCCACACUGCAAGAGUACUUGCAUCGUCUCGUCAGGCUUCGCGCAAGGGCUCUAGAUGUAGCGGAGAAGACCAUCAUCGAUGCCGCGAUCGCAGGCUUAAGUCUUGGCCCGUGCGGAGAGUACCUCGAGCGCCGUAGGCCAAAGACCCUGAAUAGGCUCUUCGAGAUUAUGCAAGAAUAUUGCAUCUCAGACAAAGAAAAGCGCCGGAGAAUCGAAGAGAUGAAUGAGAAGAGAUCGCGCAAUCGCGAUCGACCGAAGCCACAUCAGGUUUAACAAGCGAAGACCCCGAAGGCCGUGAACACAGUCUCCGGCGACGAAGCCCGCGACUCCCAGCCUCAGAACAACAGAGGAGGGAGGAGCGACCGAAGCAACUCCAACCGGGGUCGGAGGGAAAACUCCGGCCGAAGGCAGAAAGAAUCCUACUGCUGCAUUCAUGGCAGAGACAAAGGUCAUUGGACGAGUGAGUGCCCCCUCGUCAAAGAGAAGAAAGAAGAAUUGGACCGAGCCGCAAACACCGAACAACCGCCGAAGCCCGUCAAUUACACUCACAACAGCCAGCCGCGAGGCCCACCACCACAAAUACAUUGGCAGCCUCCACAACAACCUCAUUGGACUUCGGCAUAUCCCACUCUAUCACCAUCCUUCCCAACCUUCCACUACAACCCCACAUACACCCCACCAGCCCUUCCAGCACCUUCGGCGCCCCAACUCCCGCAAAUCCAAACCCCUUCAGCGCCACAUCAAGAGUGGCACCCACAACCCUAGCCACAAGCUUCCACCUACCUCCCCCCACCGCCAAAGCUAGAACUUGGUACGAUCCCAGAGAGAGCCAAUGAUCUGGUCGGAGGCAAGGUGAACGUCAUCAAUGCCAUCUCCGGCGGAUUGAAUGAGCCAGUACACGAGAUGAAGCGUCAGAGGAAAGAAUACCUCCGCACUGUCUCGCAUGUCUGCGAAGGCAAGCAUUUCCGCACUCCCUGGUCUCACGUCCCAAUCACCUUCUCCGAAGCCGACUUCAGGCUUCAACACUACCCACACAACGACCCCCUUGUUAUUCGUGCAAACAUUGGUAGAAAUUCUGUACACUUCGCGGGAAACGACGUAAGUCGGAUCCUUGUUGACAACGGCAGCUCCGCAGAUGUUCUCACUUGACAAUGCUUUGUGAAGAUGGGGUUCACAGAGAAGAACCUGCACAAGUCUCAGUACCCGCUUAUUGGCUUCAGGGGCAAAAGAAUCGAAGCCCUCGGCAAAAUAGAGUUGAAUGUGACCUUUGGAGAAGGCAAUACCCAGAGAACAGAGCUCAUCACUUUCGAUGUGGUAGACAUUGCCUACCCAUACAAUGCCAUCUUCGGCCGCAACAGCAUCAUCAAGUUCGCAGCAGUUAUCAACCAAGCUUACUUAUGCAUGAAAAUCCCGACAGCCGGAGGAGUCAUCACGAUCCUCGGCAAUCAGGAAGAAGCAAGAAGAUGCGAAGACAAUGCAGCGUGCGCCAUGAAAAAUGUGCACGCAAUCGAAGCUGCUAACAAUAAUGAGGAAGAGGAGGAAGCGAAGCCACCCAGUUUUGAGCAACACAACAAAGAAGGGGUUAUGCCAGCUGAGCACACCAAAAAAGUUCUGCUCUGCGAAGAUGUUCCGGAUCGCACAGUAAUGAUAGGCAGAGGCCUAGAGGAAGCUGAAGAGUCUAGGUUGAUCUAGUUCUUGAGAAAUAACCAGAAUGUCUUCGCAUGGUCAUCUUCGGACCUGCGAGGAGUCAGUCGAGAAGUCAUAGAGCAUGAGCUGAGGGUGGACCCGAAGGUUAAGCUCCGGAAACAGCGUCUUCGCACGAUGUCCGAAGACCAAAAAAAGCCGCUCAAAGCGAAGUCCAGAAGCUGCUUGAUGCGGGCGUAAUCCGCGAAGUGCAAUACCCAGAAUGGCUGGCGAAUGUUGUCAUGGUCCCGAAGAAGAAUGGAAGUUGGAGAAUGUGCAUCGACUUCACCGCCUUAAACAAGUUAUGUCCGAAGGAUGAGUUCCCCUUGCCUCGCAUUGACACCUUGGUAGAUGCAGCAGCAGCAGGGUCAGAAAUGUUAAGCAUGUUAGAUUGUUUUUCCAGCUACCAUCAAAUCUUCAUGAAGAAGUCAGAUGAGGAGAAGACCAGUUUUACUACUCCCUUCGGCACCUACUGCUAUGUAAGAAUACCUGAGGGGCUUCGCAACGCAGGUUGCACGUUCAACAGAACCAUCGCAGCGGUGCUUGACAUCCAGCUGGAUAGGAACAUCUCCGCAUACGUCGACGAUGUCGUCGUGCGAAGCAAAAAACGUGAAGAUCACAUUUUAGAUCUUCGAGAGACCUUCGCCAACCUUCGUAAGCACGGGCUCAAACUGAACCCAAAAAAGUGUGUCUUCGGCGUAAGAAGGGGAAAACUUUUAGGGUGCAUGAUCACUGAGAGAGGCAUCGAGGCAAACCCAGUAAAGAUCGAAGCCAUCAGAAGAAUGAAACCACCCACAACGAAGAAGGAGGUCCAGAAGUUGACAGGCCGUCUGCUUCCCUGAAUAGGUUCAUUUCGCGGUCCGCAGAAAAGUCACUCCCUUUCUUCAAAGUUCUUAAAGGCUCAGAAAAUUUUCACUGGGGUCCUGAGCAAGACAAAGCCUUCGAAGAUAUAAAGCAGUACCUGAAAAACCUCGCCGUAAUGACAAGCCCUUCGCCUGGGGUAGAGCUCCUGUUAUACAUUGCAACUUCAAGCUCCGCAGUGAGCGCAACGCUGGUCGAAGAGAGAAUGGUCGAAGACACUUUGAAGCAGUUACCAAUCUACUUCGUAUCCGAAGCCCUCAGCGGAUCGAAGUUGUUGUACUCCGAAAUGGAAAAGAUGGCCUAUGCAGUGGUAAUGGCAGCCAGGAAGCUUCGCCAUUAUUUUAAGAGUUUCAAGAUCAAGGUCCCGACAUCUUUUCCCCUUCGGGACAUGUUUGAAAACAGGGAAGCCUCAGGAAGAAUUGAAAAAUGGGCAACACAGUUGGCAUCGCACACCAUUGAUAUUGUCCCGCGAAGCGCAAUCAAGUCCCAGGUCCUAGUAGACUUCGUCGCUGACUGGACACCAUCAGCACUUUCGCAGAGCCCUCCGGUCAUUGAAGCAAUCUGGAAUCUAGAAUGUGAUGGAGCCUACUGCAAGAACGGCUCAGGCACUUCGGCAAUCCUCACAGCACCUUCGGGAACUCAACUCAAGUAUGCAGCAAGGCUGGAUUUUCCAGGAUGCACAAACAAUGUCACUGAAUAUGAAGGCUUGCUUCUAGGCCUUCGCAAGGCACAAGCACUUGGAGCGAGGAGGCUGUCUAUCAAGUCCGACUCCGAGAUCAUCACCAACCACAUUGGCAAAACAUACAGAGCACUCAAACCAGAACUAGCAAAGUAUUUGGCAGCAGUUCGCAGUAUGGAAAAAUAUUUUCUGGGUUUCAGUGUGCGAAGCUUCCCUAGACUAUAGAACAAACAGGCAGAUGUCUUGGCAAAGGCUGCAGCAGAAAACGAUCCAUUGCCUUCGGAUGUGUUUUUUGAAACACUCAGGAGUGACUCAAUAAAUUGUGCCGAAGAGCCAGCAAAAUUUAUCAAUGCAAUCUCGAGCGAAGACUUGAGGUCAAUGAUAAUUGCUUACCUUCGGGGACACUUUGUCCCGAAGGACGAGAAAGAGGAAAAAAGACUUGCCCUUCGAGCGCGAAGCUACUCAAUCGUCAACGACACGUUGUAUCGAGGGGGUGUUUGUGCACCUUUGCUAAAGUGCAUCUCGCAAGCUGAAGGCAGGCAGUUGUUGCAAGAAAUACACACAGGCAUGUGCUCUUCGCACAUCGGAACAAGGGCUCUGGUGGGAAAAGCCUUUCGUGAAGGGUUUUAUUGGCCUUCGCCCGUGGCGGACGCCCAUGAAAUCGUACGCACGUGCCCAAAUUGUUAGAAGCACGCCCAUUACAGCAAGUUCCCGCCAGAAGAAGUCCACCUCAUACCUCCGGUCUGGCCCCUCGCACGAUGGGGCAUCGACAUUGUGGGUCCCCUCCCAACAGCUCCAGGCAACUUCAAGUAUGCAGCAGUCGCAGUAGAGUACUUUUCAAAGUGGAUCGAAGCCAAGGCGCUUCGUGAUAUCACGGCCGCUACCUUGCAGAAAUUUUUCUGGCAGAAUAUUAUAUGCCGCUUCAGCGUACCCAAAGAAGUCACAGUAGACAAUGGCAAGCAGUUUGACUGUACUACAUUCAGAGAGUUCUGUCAACAAUUGGGAACCAAGUUGUGCUUCGCCUCAGUGUACCAUCUGCAGUCAAAUGGGGCAGUCGAAAGAGCAAACGGUAUCAUCUUCUCCGGAAUCAAGAAAAACAUCACAGAACAGCCGAAGGGCAAGUGGGUUGAUGAGCUAACAAAAUGCACUCCCUUCAAACUCCUCUAUGGCGAAGAGGCAUUGACACAAGAAAAAUUUCGCCAUGGAUCCUACAGAAUCGAAGCACCUGACGAAGAUAUCAAGCCAACGAUCGACACGAUCGAAGCCAUCAAAACACAAGCGGCAAUCAACCUCGGCAGGUACCAGGAGGAAACCCGAAGGUGGCGCAACAAGAAGGUGAGGCCUCGGGAAAUCAAAGAGGGCGACUUCGUUCUUCAUCGCAUCUCAAAGAGCAAGCAACAAGGAAAAAUGCACAGCAAAUGGGAAGGACCUUUCCUGGUCGCUUCGAUGGCAAGACCCGAAGCCUGCAGGCUUCGUACACUUAAGGAGUCGAAGAGCCAUACUCCUGGAACAAAGACAUGCUUCAGCGCUACUAUGUCUAGUUUCCCGCGAAUUUCUUGUAAUAAAUUGUAAUCUUAUUCAGCAUUAGCUUGAACAAUGUAUCCAAGGGCCCGUACUCUUUUCCUCACAGGGGAAGCCUUCGCGCAAUCGCUGUGAUUGUCGAAGGUGUGAGGUUUUUAACGAGACGGAAACCCGAUGUAACCCCUUGUGAAAUAUAAGCAAGAUCCCCAGGAAGAACUAGCAUAUGAGUAGGCACCGAAGCAUCUAUCCCCCUUCGUCGCAGCGAAGGGGGGAGUCAUCGGUGCAUUAUGCGUGACUAACACUUUGAGAAAUGAGCUCAGGGCUCGCGAAGCGGAACGGCCCGCUGCACCCUAGAGUCUUAGUUCUUAUUUUUUUCUCAGUCGAAAAAGACCUUCCGCACAGGGCGCCGAAGGCACAAAAAGUCCUAUCGCGCAAAAGCCGAAGGACCAGGGCUUGCCUAAGCGUGCUAAAGAGCCGAAGGCCCCCACUAUAAAUAUAAGUCCCUCCGCGCCAAAUCGGCGAGGGUAUGGAAAGUCCUAUCGUGCGAAAACCGAAGGCUAGAGCCACCUAAGCGAGCAAAAGUGCCGAAAGUCCCCCUACCAAAAGCCCUUCGGAACAUAGUUCUGAAGGCACUUGCAAUCUGCUCAACGAAUGUGGUGUGCCCCAACCCUCCAAGAACGCAAAAGGUGGGGGUGGCGCUUCGCAACUAAUAAAUGGCUUCGCCAAAUAUAGAAGGAGCAUCGCAUUCGAUAAGAAUAAUUUUUAUUAUGAAUGUCGCCCUCCAAGAACGCAAAAGGGGGGGUGGCGCUUCGAAGACAAUACAAAGCGUCCUCGAAGGGACGAAUUCUCACUUUAAUAAUAGCGGCGUUUCUAACAUAGUAAAAAUUGCAAACAAAAUGGAAAGGCGGGGCUUCGCGUAGUCGAAGACCCAUAUACGCGAAACGAAAAGUAUCACCCUCCAAGCACAACAAAGCGAAGGGUGGCGCUUCGCUAACAAAAUCAACACUGUCCUCGAAGGGACUCACUUUUCGAUUAAACAAUAAAAUCCGACAUUUACACAAUUACUUUUACAAAGAGGGCUUCGCCCAUCAAAUUGAUUACACAGUUACACUCGAUAUUUCCUCUUCGAAUACAAUGCGGUCCACAUCUUCGAUGACCAUGCGGACCGCGCGGUCAAUUAUCUCUUCGGCCGUCUUCCGCAAAUAUGCUUCAAAUUCCGGGCCUGAAAACGAACGAAGCCCGUCGUGAGUCUCAUUCGGACACAAUGUCCCCUUGCCGACGAUAUGCAAAAUAUCCGGUGUCGGAGACUUCGUCGACGGGUUCUGGUUUGGGUUCAAGCAGCCCUCUCGCAUGCGUGUAAGGGCGUUCCGUGUCUAAAAUACGCUUCGUCUCGCGACGAAGCGAUCUAUCAGCAAGAAUCUUCGCUUGUUUCUCCGGGUCACGCGAAAACUCAGCCCAAAAGUAUUUGGAGUUCGCAUUAUCUCUAUCAUAUUUCCGUUCCAAACGCUCCCACCAUUCCGCAAACGAACCCAGGGAUGAUCAUAAUUAUACUUCGCCUAGCCCCCCCUCGGAACAUGAAAAGAACCACAUCGCAUCCAUAAAGGCAGGAUACCUUCGGUUAUCCGCGCAGGGUCCUGCGCAGACACCGAAGGCGUUAGUUUCUUACAAAACAUUGUUUCCUUCAAAAUAGUUACAUCCAGAAUUCAUUGCCCCGUGGCAUUUACAUCAUUUGCCGAAGGAGCGCCAAGGCCACUUUCGCCCUCAGCAGUCGUUGCUGCUCCGUCUGCCGAAGUACUCUGAAGAUUCCCAGCAUUGGCAGGGCUGAGGAAGGCGCCUGCGAAGGCUUCGGCGUUGUCCUGAAGCUGCAAAGGAAACCGAAGUUAAUAUCGAAACAAAACAUAAUGGCACUGCCCUAAAACCACAAACAUACCUGUUUCUAGAGUCUCUCCGCCUCGGCUCGGACGAGGUCCCUCCCGCAUGUCUUGAAGAAACUUGCCGUGAAAUUCUUGGCAAUGUUCUUUGGAGGGGGGGGCGCAGAGCUUCGGGGCGGACCUCAUCAGGCGAAGGCCAAUCAAAAGUGGAAUCACGCAUUGAUCGCAAUUGAGCCUUCGACACAGAAGCUUCGGCACCACCGCCAUCAGGAAGAAACUUGCAGAUGGCAGCGCUAAGGGAUCGCACUGCCACCGCAGCACUUAAGUCGCCCAUCGCACGGUUAACGGAGAUGGCCAUGGAGACAAGCGCGAAGCCAUCGAAACAAUUCGGAUAUAGAAAUAGUAUUGACCGUCGGAGAGGUCGGGAGCGGAUAGGCCCAUAAUCUUCAGGAAGGCAGCAAUCUCCAGCUGAAGAGGUUCGGCACCAGCACGAACAACUUCGCGGUAAGCAUUGAUUGCCUGAGUAGCAGCCUGCUCCCGGCACUCUGCGUCCUUCAAUUCUCGCUCAUUCGCCUCCAACGACCAGCGAAGUUCUGCCAUCUCAACCUUGGCGGCCUCGGUCUCACGGCGGGCGGCUUGCAACUCCGUUUCUGCGCUGGCGCGCGAAGUGGACAGCUCAGCUUCAAGCGUGGCUUUCUCUUCCUCCAGGCCAGAAACCUUCUGCUCCAAACUUGCGAUGCGCAAAGGCUGCUCACGCUCUGCAUUCAACAGGCGGCUGGCACACCUCGCUGCAACAUAGGAUUUCAGCGCAAGGUCUUCGGCGCAGCGCAGAGCGUUUCCGGCCCCAGUCAGCAUGAGCCUUCGCUCCAUGAGCGGAAAGCAGAAUGAGUCCCCCGCUUCGGUCAAAUAGUCCCGCUCAUGUUGCCCACUCUCGAAGCGAAGUUUCCCAACAACCUGGCCACCAAUGAUCCUCGCAUUCUUCAUCCCAAGAGCCUCCGCAAUCUCAGGUUUAGACUGACUCAUCAAAUAGCCGCUGCUUUCCGAGGAGCUCGAGUCAUCUGUGGUACCCUCGACAGCGAUCUGUUUUCCCUUCGCAGCCGCACCCGAAUCUACAACAUUAACCUCCUCCUCCUCCUCCUCCUCCUCCUCCUACGUAGAAGACGAAGCCGUCCUCUCGGUACAUUUCUCGACUUCUGCAACCGAGCCGGCAGCAUUGCGGGGUUUUGGAGCAACUUCUUCAUCGCUCACCGGCUCCAGCUCGCUGAAUUGCAACGAGAAGGCAGGUCUUGCACGCUCCGGAGCCACAUUAACCGGAGCAGCGGGGCUUCGCGCUGCUGUCGCACUGUCUCCGCUCGACUCCACCUUCUCUUCAGAAUCCCCCGUGCUGCGAAGAGGGGAUUGGGUGAGGAUAGUGCCAAUAAGACGGGAACGCUUCUUGGGAAGCGCCCCUCCACCUUCGCCCCUGCGUUUUUUCUUCUCCAAGGCCCCGGUGUUGCCGCUGCCCUUGGAGGGAUUCUUCCGCUUGCCCCCGACCGCUACCAAGGGAUCGCCCUUCGUUGUCUUCUUCCUUCAGCCGAGCUUCGGCAGCACGACGAGGGGCUUCAAUACCAAAGAAGGCGAACACACGGUUGUUCCGAGUGCCCCCCCCCCCCAACUUGGUCUUGAGUAAAGUGCGCUCCUUCGCAGCCUCGGCCCCAAUGGCUUCGUCCGCGAGCACCUCGACAGCGGCGGGGUCUACAUCUGCGAAGCAGGUGUUCAGGAAAAUAAUAAUAAUAAUAACGAUGGAAAAGGAAGGGCUAGUGAUUUACCAUCCUUCGUGAUCCCGAAAGAAGUGGAGAAGUUGGGCAUUGGGAGGCCACCCACACGUUUCUCCCUCCCCGCCCGCGAAGAUAUUGAUCACCCUUCGCGGACCGGGAAACACUUGCAUGCAAUGUACUCUUCGACAAUGUCUCAGAGUACCAAACACCUUGGACACUUCGCGAAGCAUUGCAACAUGAUUCUUCGCCUCCUCCGUCCCUUCGUCCACCUCCACAGACGGAAGCUCCCGGAGCAGACCGAUCUCCUUCACCACCAGAGGGUGGCUUUGCGUCGCUUCGGUAAGGGGGACCUUGUGGUAGAACCACAUUCCCGUCCAGUCCCCCCACCUGUUGCGAUAAGCAACGACUGGGCUUGGAACAGUAUUGUGAAAAGCGAAGGUGUACACACCGAAUUGAGGCUCCGCUUCCGAAGUCACUUCGCCCUUCUUCACGAACACCGUCUUUGGCUGAAAGUGACAUCUGAAGAGGCGAGCGAAGCCAGCAGCAGAAGGCUUCAUCUUGCAGGUCUUCGUCAACCACAUGUAAAGAUUGAGCCGAACGAAGGAGGUCGGUGUCAUCUGGUGGGUGUAGACGUCGAAGAGCUUGAAAAUCUCUAUCACCACCGGAUCCAGCGGGAACCGAAGGCCGGCGACGAAAAAAUCGUGGAAGACCACGACCUCGUCAUGUUCGGGCUUUGCUUCGGUCACCCCGGCCGGAGGAGCCCGUGUGAAGCCAACUUCAAGAAGACCUCGCCUCUCCAUGUCUUCGAUCAUGACUUGCGUCAUGUAACUCUUCCCAAGGAUGCAAGUAGGAGGAAAUCGAACCCGUUCGCACGGCGCCAUGUCCUGCGAAGAGUCCGUCUUCACCCAAAACGAAGAUGCCGGCGGACCAAGCAACGAACGUCAGGCGAAGUAGCAAAAUGAGAUCUCAAGCAAAGCGAAACUGAGGGCUGGGGGGCUCUGGCACAGACAACGUGAGGUCUCGCCCUCCCCGGGGGGCUGGCUUAUAUAGUGCCAGGCGCCCGCCACUCAGCGCCUGGGAGCGCACGCCUGCGAGGCAAAAGGUCUUUUUAGACCUUGUCCAAAUUGAAGGAAGCCGAAUCGACAUAGGGGUAAUAGUGUCUUUUAACAUAAUUCUUAAACAAUUUAUUUUCUUAAAUUUCAUAUUUUCACUAUUUAUUCUUUUCGCUGGAAAAACACGAAAAGAUUAACCUCACAAGCAGCGAAGCCUGCAUUUUUUCUCCAACUUUGUGACAUUACAGGUGUUCAGGUCGCCCUCGCGCGCUCGCUCGCCCGAAGGGUGGCGCUUGAGGCAGCGUUUCACGCACCGAGAAAUCGAGCCUCCAGAUGCUCCGAGGAGCACCCGCAGCCUCGAGGGGCUACUGUUGGGGAGCCACCUUCGAGCAGCGGUGCGAAAGCAAGAGGACCCGAAGACAAGACAAGAUGACCGAGCGCGCCCUGAUAAGCGAAGGCCUCGAAGCGAAGACCCUUCGACGAAGACCCAAGAGUGAGGGCUUCGGAUCUGGGGGCAACAAAUGGUUCCUGUCCAGCGCAGUGGCGAAGGGGAGACGGCAAAGGCUGAAGUGCGAAGGUUGACCAAGUGAGGAUGCGGUGAAGAAGUUGAGUGAUGAAGACCGAACCCGAAGCCCUGGUCGAAGAUACUCAUGGCGAAGUGUCCCGAAGAUGCGCUGAGGCCUACUUGUCAGUCUAGCUGUAAUUCCACUACAUUGUGUCGAUCGCUGUAACAUUACGAGAUUACCCUGGGAAUAUUCCCAGAUGCUGGCAGUUAGCGGGUAGUUAAGGGAUUUUGGCCAGGGAGUAGGUGAACCGUUGGGCUAUAAAUACCCCCCUGUAACUGUGUGAUGAUGAUUGAAAUGAUUGAAUACAGAGCAAUUACGCCCUUGCUUUGAUUUU